UNGAAAGAAGCCAGUCUUGGGAAGGACCU
rnacentral:piRNA from 1 species